UGGUAGGUUCAGAGCUCACAUGAGCAUGG
rnacentral:piRNA from 1 species